AGCGAACGCUGGCGGCAGGCCUAACACAUGCAAGUCGAACGAAGUCUUCGGACUUAGUGGCGGACGGGUGAGUAACACGUGGGAACGUGCCCUUAGGUUCGGAAUAACUCAGGGAAACUUGUGCUAAUACCGAAUGUGCCCUUCGGGGGAAAGAUUUAUCGCCUUUAGAGCGGCCCGCGUCUGAUUAGCUAGUUGGUGAGGUAAAGGCUCACCAAGGCUACGAUCAGUAGCUGGUCUGAGAGGAUGACCAGCCACAUUGGGACUGAGACACGGCCCAAACUCCUACGGGAGGCAGCAGUGGGGAAUCUUGCGCAAUGGGCGAAAGCCUGACGCAGCCAUGCCGCGUGGAUGAUGAAGGUCUUAGGAUUGUAAAAUCCUUUCACCGGUGAAGAUAAUGACUGUAGCCGAAGAAGAAGCCCCGGCUAACCUCGUGCCAGCCGCCGCCGUAAAAC
rnacentral:rRNA from 1 species